rnacentral:lncRNA from 1 species
AACAUUUUAGAAAACCUUUCCUUUACCCUUGCUCUACCCCCCAAAGAGGAUCCGACACCCGAGAUUCCACCGGACGGUAGGAAUUCCGAUGUCUGAACGAGCGGGGUCUUACAUUCUUCCCCCCUUACAGAACAUUCGUCCCCGAAUGUUCAAACAAAAACACACAAACAAACAAACAAAACCUCAAACUUGCUCUUCAACGCCACAAGCUUCUGCUGCGCUACUCUGAUCCUUCUCUUCUUCUUCCUUCACUGAUCUUGCUCUUCUCUUCUGCUUUCUAUUCUACUCUUACUCUUCUCUGCUAUACUCUUACUCUCUACUCUGCCACUA